rnacentral:rRNA from 1 species
UACGGAGGGUGCAAGCGUUAUCCGGAAUUACUGGGUUUAAAGGGUGCGUAGGCGGCCAUGUAAGUCAGGAGUGAAAGUUUGCGGCUCAACCGUAAAAUUGCUUUUGAUACUGCAUGGCUGGAAUCAGGAUGAGGUCAGCGGAAUGUGGCAUGUAGCGGUGAAAUGCAUAGAUAUGCCAUAGAACACCAAUUGCGAAGGCAGCUGGCUAGACCUGUAUUGACGCUGAGGCACGAAAGCGUGGGGAGCAAACAGG